rnacentral:rRNA from 1 species
AGCAGUCGCCGCGGUAAAACGUAGGUGGCAAGCGUUGUCCGGAAUUAUUGGGCGUAAAGGGCUCGCAGGCGGUUUCUUAAGUCUGAUGUGAAAGCCCCCGGCUCAACCGGGGAGGGUCAUUGGAAACUGGGAAACUUGAGUGCAGAAGAGGAGAGUGGAAUUCCACGUGUAGCGGUGAAAUGCGUAGAGAUGUGGAGGAACACCAGUGGCGAAGGCGACUCUCUGGUAUGUAACUGACGCUGAGGAGCGAAAGCGUGGGGAGCGAACAGGAUUAGAUACCCGCGUAGUCCCUGUCUCUUAUAA